ensembl:lncRNA
CAGCUGUUUAUUUCUCUGCUGCGUUCUUAUUGUUUUAUAUAGUGCCUGUGGUGCGCUGAAGUAAGUGUUUGCAGGCUGACGGGCAGUUUAGAAAAUUGAAUACCCACAGUAAUGUAUUUCAUAUACUUUGUGGCUGCUUUCCCCACCAUCCUAAUGAAACCCAGCCACGGAAGCUCAGUGCCAGCUGUCGGCUUCACCCAGCCAGCAGUGGGCCUCACCUCCACGGUGCCAGGAAAACAAACUGAAAGGAAGGGUCGCAAUUCAGUCUGCGGACAGACAGAGAAGAGAGAUUCAGCUGCAGUGCCUAAGCCGAUAAUCUUCUUGGAAGCACCCUCAGACAGCAGGGCCUGGUACUUCAGCUCCUCCAAGAACAAAACCUCUACAAAUCCUUCAUCCCAAAAAACGUUUUGAGGUUUUCAACUUACGUUAAAGCCCUACCUGAAUACCGCAAGAACAGAACCUUUCAUUGCGCGAUGUCCGUGUGCCCAAGAAGGCUGUGCCCGGCACACUGCUGCCUUGCUCCUGCUGAGCCUGAGUUUUUGGGGGCGGGAGGGGAAGCGCUCAAGGAAAAGGAGUAGUAGAAAUAUACUUUUGACUGUGGAAAAAAAUAGCACCUUCGGUUCUCGUUUCCUAAGGCUCCUCCAAGACCCAAGAACUUGAAUUAGUGAGUAGUGGUGGGGGAGAAGGGCAGAGCUGAGCAAUGAGUGCCGCUAAGGUGCCCUUCAUCUAAACUUCUUACCUGUAGGCUCACUGGUGCUUUUGUAGCCCCUUGGAGUUGACAGUGGAUGGAGGUACUGCAGUACCCCAGGAAUGAGAUGUGGAUGUCUGGAGCAGGCUCAGCUAGCUUCUGCCCUUCCUAAAGCACUCUGCAGGGUCUGAGGCUCUCCGUGCAAACUGAUGCUGCUCUGCCUCCUUUGUAUGCUCCAUUUGAAAUUCUAUUACCAUUUCAGAAGGCAGGCGUUUGAAGAGAAAAUUGAAUACCCGUCCAGCCUUGAUAAGAAGGGGCAUUCGGCGCUCCA